UACGGAGGGUGCAAGCGUUAUCCGGAUUCACUGGGUUUAAAGGGUGCGUAGGUGGGUCUGUAAGUCCGUGGUGAAAUCUCCAAGCUUAACUUGGAAACUGCCAUGGAUACUAUAGGUCUUGAAUACUGUGGAGGUCAGCGGAAUAUGUCAUGUAGCGGUGAAAUGCUUAGAUAUGACAUAGAACACCAAUUGCGAAGGCAGCUGGCUACACAAAUAUUGACACUGAUGCACGAAAGCGUGGGGAUCAAACAGG
rnacentral:rRNA from 1 species